AGAGUUUGAUCAUGGCUCAGGAUGAACGCUGGCGGCGUGCUUAACACAUGCAAGUCGAACGUGAAAUGUCGAUUGAAUACUUCGGUAGGAUUUCGGUGUGGAAAGUGGCGAACGGGUGAGUAACACGUAGGUGACCUGCCUCGAAGUGGGGGACAACCAUUGGAAACGAUGGCUAAUACCGCAUAGUUCUGUUGGUCUGGGAAGGCCGAUAGAUAAAGCCUUCGGGCGCUUUGAGAGGGGCCUGCGGUCGAUUAGCUAGUUGGUGGGGUAAUGGCCUACCAAGGCGACGAUCGAUAGCUGGUCUGAGAGGACGAUCAGCCACAUGGGAACUGAGACACGGUCCCAACUCCUACGGGGGGCAGCAGUGAGGAAUAUUGCACAAUGGGGGAAACCCUGAUGCAGCAACGCCGCGUGGAGGAUGAAGGUUUUUGGAUUGUAAACUCCUUUUCUGAGGGAAGAGUAAGGACGGUACCUCAGGAAUAAGUCACGGCUAACUACGUGCCAGCAGCCGCGGUAACACGUAGGUGGCGAGCGUUAUCCGGAUUUACUGGGCGUAAAGGGCACGCAGGCGGUCUUGAAAGUUUGGCGUGAAAUCUCCCGGCUUAACUGGGAGCGGUCGUUGAAAACUACAAGACUUGAGUCAAUGAGAGGGAUGCGGAAUUCCAGGUGUAGUGGU
rnacentral:rRNA from 1 species